AUUGAACGCUGGCGGCAUGCUUUACACAUGCAAGUCGAACGGCAGCGCGGGCUUCGGCCUGGCGGCGAGUGGCGAACGGGUGAGUAAUGCAUCGGAACGUGCCCAGUAGUGGGGGAUAGCCCGGCGAAAGCCGGAUUAAUACCGCAUACGACCUGAGGGUGAAAGCGGGGGACCGAAAGGCCUCGCGCUAUUGGAGCGGCCGAUGUCGGAUCAGCUAGUUGGUGGGGUAAAGGCUUACCAAGGCGACGAUCCGUAGCUGGUCUGAGAGGACGACCAGCCACACUGGGACUGAGACACGGCCCAGACUCCUACGGGAGGCAGCAGUGGGGAAUUUUGGACAAUGGGGGCAACCCUGAUCCAGCCAUGCCGCGUGCGGGAAGAAGGCCUUCGGGUUGUAAACCGCUUUUGUUCGGGAAGAAAUCCUCUGGGCUAAUACCCCGGGGGGAUGACGGUACCGGAAGAAUAAGCACCGGCUAACUACGU
rnacentral:rRNA from 1 species